ACAAUUUGUCUUUUCAAAUGUAGCCACUAGUUUAUGCCAGUUACAGUCUGUCUUUGUAAAAUGGAGAUAAACACAAUGGCAAAAUAGUACCUGACUGCAGCAAAAAAAAAAUAAAUAGAUAAAUUUUAAAAUACACUUGGCUUUCCAAAUAGUCUAUAUUAUGAAUAUAUAUUAUGUUUAUAAUUAGAUAAAGACCAUAAGUACUCUUUUAAAAGGCCAUGUAUGUUUGCAAGCAACUUCAUUAUUUGCAUGAGUAUUUUCUUCUAUUCACCGUUUAGUCAGUGAAAAGCUUGAAUCUCAAUAAAUAUGUAUUCCUCUAGGUAAAAAUAAAAUUAAUAUAUAAUUGUCAAAGGAAACAUGUGUCUGUCCCAGCAAUGUAUCUUUAAAGAAGAGCUAACUCAAUACCUUGUUUCUGGUUGUCAUUAAAUGUAAUAUGGAAGAUCAAUCAAUCAGGAUUCAAUUCUAGAGAAAAUAAUGCAUUCUGGUUAGCAUAAUUAGAAGGGGAUUUAUUUCAGGGUUCUAUGUGGGGAUGAAAUACUUAUUGGAUGUUCUGAAAUACUAAUAAACUCUCUCCUGAGCUUUCCAGAUGGGCUAACAAAGCCAUACCACAGAAUUAUUCAUCAAAGAAACUGCUGCCCUGUCAUUUUAAGAUGCUCUGGCUACGACUACAGCUGUUGGUGCAGAACUUCCACCUAAGCUGUGAGCAGAAAAUCACCACCAGCCAUAUUUGGAAUUCUCUCUAAGGAAAGAGGCCAGCACUAUGAGUGAUGCUUCAUUUGGUGAUUAACUUCGCUCUAACAAAAAAUAGUUCUGCACAACCAAAAUUAUAUGAAUAUUUGAUUUCACAUUUUUGAAUAAAAUC
rnacentral:lncRNA from 1 species